UACGUAGGGGGCAAGCGUUGUCCGGAAUUAUUGGGCGUAAAGCGCGCGCAGGCGGUUUUUUAAGUCUGGUGUUUAAGCCCGGGGCUCAACCCCGGUUCGCAUCGGAAACUGGAAGACUUGAGUGCAGGAGAGGAAAGUGGAAUUCCACGUGUAGCGGUGAAAUGCGUAGAGAUGUGGAGGAACACCAGCGGCGAAGGCGACUUUCUGGACUGUAACUGACGCUGAGGCGCGAAAGCGUGGGGAGCAAACAGG
rnacentral:rRNA from 1 species